rnacentral:rRNA from 1 species
UACGUAGGCAGCAAGCGUUGUUCGGAGUUACUGGGCGUAAAGAGUGUGUAGGCGGUUUCGUAAGUUUGGUGUGAAAUCUCCCGGCUUAACUGGGAGGGUGCGCCGAAUACUGCGAGGCUCGAGUGCCGGAGAGGUAAGCGGAAUUCCUGGUGUAGCGGUGAAAUGCGUAGAUAUCAGGAGGAACACCGGUGGUGUAGACGGCUUACUGGACGGCCACUGACGCUGAGACACGAAAGCGUGGGUAGCAAACAGG